GUUUACUUAAAUCUUCAACCAAGUCCGAGGCUUUGCCAUGUAAGCAAUCAAGCAGCAAGGAUAGCAGCUGGAAUGAAGAUUAAUAAUUACAUUGAUCUUCAAACAAGUCUGAGGCUUUGUCAUGAAAGAAAUAAUGCAAGUAUAUUUAAGCCAAUUAAUUCUGUACAUUAUCAGGAAAAAUGUGAUAAAGUCUAUAAGGAAUAUCUGUAAGGCAACACACAUUUUUGUUAUUUUGCACAUUUACAACACACAAAAAUAGAUAUUUAUCAGUUUGAUAAAUGUUUUUCUGGUACAGGAAUAAAAUUUUAUACCAUGAAAAGUAAAUCCAAAUAGAAUUUUUACUUCAAGGGAGACUAGUACAAUAAACAGCAAGAAUGUUUCUUUCAUCGGGAGAUAACUCACUAUUACGCAGUCAGAAUACAGAAUAGAUUAAUAAAAAUUUAGGCUGGCAAUUUAACAAAUUUGUCAAAUAUAUAAUUUGUGUCAAUUUUAAUUCCUUUUUAGGUUAUAAAACAGUGCCAAUGUUUUCAUGAAGGGGAGUAAGACUUGUGGUAUAAGAUAUCUUAAAUACAAGUAAGUAUAUAAUUCCUCUAUUUAAACAAAUUUUAUCAUACUGUCAAUAAAAAGAAACAGUCAGCUAUCACUGGGCUUGAAAACUUUUGGUCAGUAGUUUUAAUGUUUAAUUUAUUAGUACCAGUAAUUGCAAAUCAUUUUUGCUAUGUCAACUCCAACUAGAUAGAGAUCUUUGUCUGGUUUUAUUGGUAUUUUCAUAGGCGGAUCCAAAGGGAAUCACUGAAGCUUGACUGGAACCCCCCCCCCUUUAGGUCAGUCAGCGGGGCCCCCUCCCCCUUUAUGAAAAGUUCUGGAUCCGCCACUGGUUUUGUAGAUAAGUUAGUGUACAGGUCAUAUAUUUAACUUCAAAAUGUCAUUCACGCAAAAUCUCCCCCUAAGGUGUCAAGGCUGACAGGGAUUCUCACUCUUUGAGGUUUCAGAUGUUGGAAAGUAUUUCAUAUUUGUUAGUGUUGUUGGGAUGUUGUCACAUUGUGUUCUUUGCAUCUUCUUUUACCUUAAGGAAGCUUGCUUGUCAUUUUUUGGAAUUUUGGUCAGAUUUUCAGAAUCCUCUAGUUUUAUCCAUUUGAAUGCAUUAACAAAUUAAGCCUGGUGACCCCCAUUUUUCUUUUUAUAAUUCAUUUACAUGUAUGAUGAUAAGCUGUCUGUUAAAAUCUUAUAAAAUUUUAAUUACUUUUAAAUAGUUUUUGAGGACUUGUAAAUGAUAAAAAGUCAAGAGAGAACAUUUUCCCGCCAAAAUUUCAAUGGCUAAUAUCUCGAAAACAAGCAAGAUGACCUAUAUAUUUUUUUGCUCUUUUGAUUCCUUUAUUAAUCCCCUAUCAAUAUAUAUGCUAGUGUUUUGAAAAGUUAAUUAUUUUGAAACUGAGAAGCCAACUCCCUUAAAAUGUUGUAUAUCUAUUUUUAUAUAUAAUGUACAUAUAAAUUAGUAUACCAACAGUGAUUCCUUUUUUACUAUUUUCAAUGACUAAGCAUUUUAUUUUUCAGGUUAGCAUUCCAGCUUGUACUUACAGAUUGAUGUUGGAAAUGGCUAUUAGAGUUGACUUUUAAAAAGUAAGAAAGAACUAUUUUAUAGAUUUAUAAAAUUUUCUAUUUAAGAUCAUGUAAAUUCCCAUGUGAUUUGUAUAAUCUUUUUACAAUUUAAUAUUUUCUGGAAUGACCUGUCAAGUUUUAGGAAGGGAAAAAUUAUUAUUAUGAAAAAGUUUCUCUGCUUUAAUUGUUA
rnacentral:lncRNA from 1 species